CUAUACAACACCUAGUACAUGCCACUUCCAAUUAAGGAAAGAAAAUCAUCACCAAAAAAUCUUUUUGCUGGAGUCGGGAUCAUUCGGAUGUUGGACCGAGACACUAGACUCCUAUUAACCUGCGCACGGAAACAACCGCAUGCUGAGUAUUCCAUACUCAGUGGUAUUACCAUAAUUCAAAUUAUAAUAGCAAUAAAAAAAUUAUAAUUACCGAACAUGUAACUAUCCAAUUUCUCAAAUAUCAAUUCAUUCUUAAACUUCAUUAAUUAAUAAUAACAAUACAAUUUUUAACUAUUCUUCAAUUUCUAUCACAUAUCACAUGUAAUAAUUUCAAUCACUACAUGAAUAUUAAAUUCAUGCCUUUCAUUUUCAAUCUUCAUUUCAAUUCAUAAUUCAAUUUUCUCGUUUCUUUCAAUAUUUCAAUAAUAUAAUCAAUCAAUUUAUUUUAAAUUUCUCAUUUUAGAUGAUCACCCUAUUAACAGACCCGGACUUUGACGGAUACACGGAUUCCAACCCAAACACACCGGUAUGACACAUUGUGCCUAAAACGGUACAUAGUACCUGAUCAGAAUAUGACACAUAAAGUGCCUAAAACGACACACGAAGUGCCUGAUACAGCAAGCGAGGUGCCUGAAAUACGACACUUAAAGUGCCUGAUCAGUAAAGCCGGCAAGUCCCAUACACUUCUAGAUCCAAUUGCAUGCCAAUUAUAUCCGACUCAGCCCGACUAGUUAAUAGGGUAUUUCAUAUCACUUUUCAAUUUCAAUUUCAACUUAAUUCAAUACACUUUUCCAUUUCAAUCCAGAAGCAAUUCAAUUUCAAUACAUAUUCAUCAUUCAAUUAAAUUUUUAUACAAUUCAACAAAUAUACUUACCUUAUAAUUUACUUACCAUAUACAUAAAUUAAAUUAAACAUAUAAUGAAUAAAUAAAUAAUUUGAAUUAUAGUAAUACAAACCCGAAUUUUGCGAUUACUCCUCGAUAAUUUUCUCCUUUCCUUUUCGUGCCAAUGCUUCAGGUUCUUUGUUGGCUACGAAAAUAAUAGUAAUUUACAUUAUUAUUUACAGCAUUAAUUAAAAUAAAUAAUUAAAUUUCUAAACAAUUCCUACCUUAUUCCCAAUUUAAUCCUAACUAUACUUUCUUACUUUCUUAAUCCAAUUCACUCUCUUUUUCUAUUCAAAUUUUGUCUAAACUCAUAUUUAACUAUAAAAUUUCCAGCAUAUUUUCCUAAUUUUGAAAUUUCUUUAAUUUAGUCCCUACAACAUAAAACUUAUAGCCUAGUUUUCAAUUUAAUCCCUUAAUCGAUUCUAACUUAGAAUUCAUUCAAUUAAAUCCCUAAUUCCAUAAUUUGUCCAACAUGAACCCCAUUUGGAAACAUGUGAACUCUUGAACUAUCAACUUAUUUUCAUCAAAAUCUUGUUUUAAAGCUUCUAAAACAUCUUAAAUAGAAAGGACUUAAAUGACUUACCAAUCAAAGCUUUAAACCUUAAACUCUUAGUUUUUCCUUUUUCCUUUCUUUCCCCUUUUCUUCCUGCUCUGUUUCGAAUGUCUCUGUUUCUUUCUUUUCUUU
rnacentral:lncRNA from 1 species